rnacentral:misc_RNA from 1 species
GAAAUGCGAAAAGUAGUGUGAAUUGCAGAAUUCAGUGAAUCAUCGAAUCUUUGAACGCACAUUGCGCCCCUUGGUAUUCCAUGGGGCAUGCCUGUUUGAGUAUCAUGAAAUCUUCAAAGUAAAUCUUUUGUUAACUCAAUUGGUUUCUACUUUGGUAUUGGAGGUCUUUGCAGCUUCACACCUGCUCCUCUUUGUUCAUUAGCUGGAUCUCAGUGUUAUGCUUGGUUCCACUCGGCGUGAUAAGUUAUCUAUCGCUGAGGACACUGUAAAAGGUGGCCAAGGUAAAUGCAGAUGAACCGCUUCUAAUAGUCCAUUGACUUGGACAAUACUUUUAUGAUCUGAUCUCAAAUCAGGUAGGACUACCCGCUGAACUUAAGC